CCUGCUAUGGCCCUGGAAUUUCCACAUGCUGUGGGCGGGGACAAAAGAGAAAAGGGCAGAGGAUCUGAAUAGACAUUUUUCCAAAGAAGACACACAGACAGAUGAAAAGAUGCUGGGCGUCACUAAUCAUCCCAGAAAUGCCAGCAAAACCCCAAAGAGAUGUCGCCUCACACCCAUCAGAAUGGCUAUCAUCGAAAAGAGGACAGCAGUUCCGGCGCUGGCCCCGAACACGGCCACACGGACCUGGCACACUCUCCCUGGGGGCCUGGACUGUGAUGACAAUAACACUAGCAGCUAUAACUCUGCAAGUCAGAAGUGCCCGUGCUGGGCCUGGCAUGGAGCGCGUCCUCAGGAAUCGCUGGUGCCCUGCCCUCAGCCCCACAGGAUGUGUGGGAAGGAAGAUAACCACGGAAAGCUCUGCCUGGCGGGUGCUGCAGAGUCCUCGUGGAGCCGCCCCCACCCACCCCAGGCUCCCCGAGACGCCCGUCAGCAGUGGCAUCUGAAGCUGAACUGAGUCACUCUAGCCCACUGAGUGAGUCACAGAGGCUGCCAAACAGCUCCCAGCGACUGGAGGGUGACAGUGAGGACUCUCCAGACCCGAGGCUCUUUAAUUCCUUCCUCUUUACUCAUCACCACAGCCCCGAGGUAGGUAUUAGAGGACUGGAGCCCUGGCCAGUCCCCUGUUGUGGGUGGACCACAGCAAGACCUAGUGUGACCUGGAAUUUCAGGACCACAACAGGAAUGCCACCCUUUCUCACUUACUCAAAAAAAAAGAACUGGAUCAUGAGGUCCUUUGCAUGGAUGAUGUUGAACCUGUACAGUCGAUCAGAGAAUGGUAAAUAACUCACAAACUCUGGAA